rnacentral:tmRNA from 1 species
GGGGGCGACAGGUUUCGACAGCAUGAUGGAAGGUCCGGACGUGCGAGCCGAGAGCGGGGAACUCUCGUAAAUCAAUCUUCAAAACAAUAAUUGCCAACGAAGAUUUCGCACUGGCUGCUUAAUUAAGCAACCACGCUCCCCGGGGGCUCGGUCGUUGGAACCCGGAAGGGCGUCACAAAGACGGCUGGAAUCACGGCAGCGCCAUCUGGCCGCGGUUCGAGACUCUAGGGAUGGUUAGGAAGU